UGCUUCUCUUGAGAGCGGCGGACGGGUGAGUAAUGCCUAGGAAUCUGCCUGGUAGUGGGGGAUAACGUUCGGAAACGGACGCUAAUACCGCAUACGUCCUACGGGAGAAAGCAGGGGACCUUCGGGCCUUGCGCUAUCAGAUGAGCCUAGGUCGGAUUAGCUAGUUGGUGGGGUAAUGGCUCACCAAGGCGACGAUCCGUAACUGGUCUGAGAGGAUGAUCAGUCACACUGGAACUGAGACACGGUCCAGACUCCUACGGGAGGCAGCAGUGGGGAAUAUUGGACAAUGGGCGAAAGCCUGAUCCAGCCAUGCCGCGUGUGUGAAGAAGGUCUUCGGAUUGUAAAGCACUUUAAGUUGGGAGGAAGGGUUGUAGAUUAAUACUCUGCAAUUUUGACGUUACCGACAGAAUAAGCACCGGCUAACUCUGUGCCAGCAGCCGCGGUAAUACAGAGGGUGCAAGCGUUAAUCGGAAUUACUGGGCGUAAAGCGCGCGUAGGUGGUUUGUUAAGUUGGAUGUGAAAUCCCCGGGCUCAACCUGGGAACUGCAUUCAAAACUGACUGACUAGAGUAUGGUAGAGGGUGGUGGAAUUUCCUGUGUAGCGGUGAAAUGCGUAGAUAUAGGAAGGAACACCAGUGGCGAAGGCGACCACCUGGACUAAUACUGACACUGAGGUGCGAAAGCGUGGGGAGCAAACAGGAUUAGAUACCCUGGUAGUCCACGCCGUAAACGAUGUCAACUAGCCGUUGGAAGCCUUGAGCUUUUAGUGG
rnacentral:rRNA from 1 species